rnacentral:rRNA from 1 species
CCUACGGGGCGCUGCAGUGGGGAAUAUUGGACAAUGGGCGAAAGCCUGAUCCAGCCAUGCCGCGUGUGUGAAGAAGGCCUUCGGGUUGUAAAGCACUUUCAGUGGGGAAGAAAGCCUUGGGGCUAAUACCCUCGAGGAAGGACAUCACCCACAGAAGAAGCACCGGCUAACUCCGUGCCAGCAGCCGCGGUAAUACGGAGGGUGCGAGCGUUAAUCGGAAUUACUGGGCGUAAAGCGCGCGUAGGCGGUCUGAUAAGCCGGUUGUGAAAGCCCCGGGCUCAACCUGGGAACGGCAUCCGGAACUGUCAGGCUAGAGUGCAGGAGAGGAAGGUAGAAUUCCCGGUGUAGCGGUGAAAUGCGUAGAGAUCGGGAGGAAUACCAGUGGCGAAGGCGGCCUUCUGGACUGACACUGACGCUGAGGUGCGAAAGCGUGGGUAGCAAACAGGAUUAGAUACCCUAGUGGUC